UCACCAGUUUGUCCAGUCAGCUACUUUGGUAGUUACCUGUCAGGCCCUCGCUUGUAAAAACUAUUUUGUACCUAUUGAAUGUUUCCUGUGAUUGAUACCUUCUCUCUUGUGCUCCGUGACCAUGCUUACCUGCCUCCUGUUGAAACCAUGUUGAGACCACCUCUCCGGUUUAAUGCCAUUUGGUGUAAAAGAUCUUAAUUGGCCUGCACAGACCUCAACCUCAUCCAACACCUUCGGGAUGAACUAGAAGACCCUCAAUUUGGAGACUCUGCAAGAGCAACAGAGGAGGGAUCCCUCUGCCAGGACAGACAGACAUGCAAAACCAACAUAAUAAAAUUACAGUAUGGGCAAUCACAA